GAUGAACGCUAGCUACAGGCUUAACACAUGCAAGUCGAGGGGAAACGACAUCGAAAGCUUGCUUUCGAUGGGCGUCGACCGGCGCACGGGUGAGUAACGCGUAUCCAACCUGCCCAUCACUUGGGGAUAACCUUGCGAAAGUAAGACUAAUACCCAAUGACGUCUCUAGAAGACAUCUGAAGGAGAUUAAAGAUUUAUCGGUGAUGGAUGGGGAUGCGUCUGAUUAGCUUGUUGGCGGGGUAACGGCCCACCAAGGCGACGAUCAGUAGGGGUUCUGAGAGGAAGGUCCCCCACAUUGGAACUGAGACACGGUCCAAACUCCUACGGGAGGCAGCAGUGAGGAAUAUUGGUCAAUGGGCGAGAGCCUGAACCAGCCAAGUAGCGUGCAGGAUGACGGCCCUAUGGGUUGUAAACUGCUUUUAUAAGGGAAUAAAGUGAGCCUCGUGAGGCUUUUUGCAUGUACCUUAUGAAUAAGGACCGGCUAAUUCCGUGCCAGCAGCCGCGGUAAUACGGAAGGUCCGGGCGUUAUCCGGAUUUAUUGGGUUUAAAGGGAGCGUAGGCCGGAGAUUAAGCGUGUUGUGAAAUGUAGACGCUCAACGUCUGCACUGCAGCGCGAACUGGUUUCCUUGAGUACGCACAAAGUGGGCGGAAUUCGUGGUGUAGCGGUGAAAUGCUUAGAUAUCACGAAGAACUCCGAUUGCGAAGGCAGCUCACUGGAGCGCAACUGACGCUGAAGCUCGAAAGUGCGGGUAUCGAACAGGAUUAGAUACCCUGGUAGUCCGCACGGUAAACGAUGGAUGCCCGCUGUUGGUCUGAAUAGGUCAGCGGCCAAGCGAAAGCAUUAAGCAUCCCACCUGGGGAGUACGCCGGCAACGGUGAAACUCAAAGGAAUUGACG
rnacentral:rRNA from 1 species